rnacentral:rRNA from 1 species
UGUGUAUAGGUUGAAGUCAGACCGUAAGGACUGGUGGACAGUACACAAGUGAGAAUGCCGGUAUGAGUAACGAAAAGAUCAGUGAGAAUCUGAUCCGCCGUAAGCCUAAGGGUUCCUGAGGAAGGUUCGUCCGCUCAGGGUAAGUCGGGACCUAAGGCGAGGCCGAAAGGCGUAGUCGAAGGACAACAGGUUGAUAUUCCUGUACCACCGCAAGCCGUUACGAGCAAUGGAGUGACGCAGAAGGGUAGUGACGCGGACCGAUGGAUGUGUCCGUCCAAGCAGUGAGGCUGGUUUGUUGGCAAAUCCGCAAACCGUAAGGCUGGGCUGUGAUGGGGAGGGAAACUUUAGUACCGAAGGUCAUGAUCUCCAGCUGCCAAGAAAAGCUUCUAGCCAGGCGAAGGUGCCCGUACCGCAAACCGACACAGGUAGGCGAGCAGAGCAUGCUAAGGCGCGCGGAGUAACUCUCGUUAAGGAACUCGGCAACAUGACCCCGUAACUUCGGGAGAAGGGGUGCCUCGGUAGGGUGAAUAGCCCGAGGGGGCCGCAGUGAAAAGGCCCAAGCGACUGUUUAGCAAAAACACAGGUCUGUGCGAAGCCGUAAGGCGAAGUAUACGGGCUGACGCCUGCCCGGUGCUGGAAGGUUAAGGGGAGCGGUUAGGGGCAACCCGAAGCUGUGAACCGAAGCCCCAGUAAACGGCGGCCGUAACUAUAACGGUCCUAAGGUAGCGAAAUUCCUUGUCAGGUAAAUUCUGACCCGCACGAAUGGCGUAACGACUUGGGCGCUGUCUCAACGAGAGAUCCGGUGAAAUUUUAAUACCUGUGAAGAUGCAGGUUACCCGCGACAAGACGGAAAGACCCCAUGGAGCUUUACUGCAGCUUGAUAUUGGACUUUGGUACGAUCUGUACAGGAUAGGUGGGAGCCUUAGAAGCCGGAGCGCCAGCUUCGGUGGAGGCACCGUUGGGAUACCACCCUGAUCGUAUCGGAGUUCUAACCUGGUACCGUGAAGCCGGUACAGGGACCGUGUCAGGCGGGCAGUUUGACUGGGGCGGUCGCCUCCUAAAAUGUAACGGAGGCGCCCAAAGGUUCCCUCAGAAUGGUUGGAAAUCAUUCGCAGCGUGCAAAGGCAUAAGGGAGCUUGACUGCGAGACCUACAAGUCGAGCAGGGACGAAAGUCGGGCUUAGUGAUCCGGUGGUACCGAAUGGAAGGGCCAUCGCUCAACGGAUAAAAGCUACCCUGGGGAUAACAGGCUUAUCUCCCCCAAGAGUCCACAUCGACGGGGAGGUUUGGCACCUCGAUGUCGGCUCAUCGCAUCCUGGGGCUGAAGUAGGUCCCAAGGGUUGGGCUGUUCGCCCAUUAAAGCGGUACGCGAGCUGGGUUCAGAACGUCGUGAGACAGUUCGGUCCCUAUCUGUCGUGGGCGCAGGAAAUUUGAGAGGAGCUGUCCUUAGUACGAGAGGACCGGGAUGGACGUACCGCUGGUGUACCAGUUGUUCCGCCAGGAGCACCGCUGGGUAGCUACGUACGGACGGGAUAAGCGCUGAAAGCAUCUAAGCGCGAAGCCCCCCUCAAGAUGAGAUUUCCCAGUAUGUAAGACCCC